rnacentral:snRNA from 1 species
AAACUCCAAAAAGGAGAGAUACCAUGGUCACAAAGGUGGUUUUCCCAGGGCAAGGCUUGUCCAUUGCACUCUGAAUGUGCUGACCCCUGCAAUUUCCCCAAAUGUAGGAAACUUGACUGCAUAAUUUGUGGUAGGGGAGGACUACAUUCACCCUCUC